GACACUGCUGUCCUUUCCCUGCCUUUGUCCAUAGCAAUUGCUCGGAGCCACCUCUCUCACAGCUGGCACAAACUCCCAGCACAGCUACUCACCAGCAAAAAGGGUUUUGACAUUGGCUCUUCAAACUUAGAAGCGUUGAAACACUGGAAGGAAAACAAGUGCUGAGCUGAAAAAUGUGGUCUGCACACAGGAUUACAUGCUCAGCUGAAGCUCCUUGGUGCUUUUCUAAUCCAGAGCUGUAUGCCUCCUCUCUGCACUCCCCCUCUU
rnacentral:lncRNA from 1 species